rfam:Bacillus coahuilensis p1.1.43 ABFP000024, whole genome shotgun sequence.
GUACCUUUUAAAUUGGUCCAGAGAGACCAGCAAGGGUUUUUUAAGAGGCAGGGAUGUAUUCCGAUGCUUCUUUCCGUACACCCUUGACACUGUUAAGGGUGUUUUUUAUA